AUCAAGUUGCUGAAACAGGUGCUGGUUUCACAAUACGCCGCUCAUGUUGCUCCCACAAUAAUUCAUGUUGGCAAAGCCUAAAGCUGUUACAGAUUUUACACACACACAGAAUUUCAAAGUUACACAAAAAAACGGUUUCUUUCAAAUAUUGGAAAGGGGAAUAGUAGCCAAGUUUCUGCUUCUCACAAUUGAAGAUCCAAGCACCAUAUCACAGAAGAAAGGUGAGCGAGACCCUUACCUGGGCACCUAUACUGGAAUGCCCCCUGAGCAGUUAUAAAACAGGUGAGUUAUUUACCUAUCUUUGCAAUAAAAUGUAUUUUGAGAAACAGGAUACAGUAAAUGCUAUCAGUGAAAAUUGUGCAUGCUGGGAUUAAAUUUACAGCAGUAUUACUGUUGGAGAGAUCCCUGAACUAGGUUGUUUUCACAGGUAACAAAAUUCUGUGCCUCAGAGUAAUAAUAUCAACUCCCCAUCCCUCUCUAUGAUGUGCUUCCAUAAAGCCACAUUUUAUGCCUCAAAUUCCCCAUAUCAGAGAAUGAUACAAUUGUAGAGUCAGAAGGGACCACAAGGAUCAUCUAUUCCAGGGUUUCCCAAACUUGGGUCUCCAGCUGUAUUUGGACCACAGUUCCCAUCAUCCCUGACCAAUGCUCCUGCUAGCUAGUAAUGAUGAGAACUGUAGUCUAAAAAAGCUGAAGACGCAAGUUUGGGAAACCCUGAUCUAAAAAGGUAAAGUUAAAGGACCCCUGGACUAUGGGGUGUGGCACUCAUCUCGCUUUUGAGCCACCAUUUGUCCACAGAUAGCUUUCAGGGUCAUGUGGCCAGCAUGACUAAACUGCUUCUGGCACAACAGGACACCGUGACGGAAGCCAGAGAACACAGAAAUGCCAUUUACCUUCCCGCUACAGCAGUACCUAUUUAUCUACUUGUGCUGUGUGCUUUCAAACUGCUACGAUGGCAGAAACUGGGACAGAGCAAUGGGAGCUCACCCUGUCACAGGGAUUUGAACUGCAAACCUUCUGAUCAGCAAGCCCAAGAGGCUCAGUGGUUUAGACCAAUGCACCACCCGUGUCCCUUACCCUGAUCUAGUUCAACCCCUGUAAUGUAAUCUUUCAUCCAAGGUGGGGCUCAAAUCCAUGAGGCUGAGAUUAAGGCUCUCAUGCUCUACCAACUGAGCUAUCCCAAAGUAAGUACUAUCUAUCUGCAUGCUGUUGUUAAAAUGGAUUUUGUGCCACUGUCACUUUGUGUGUGUGUCCGUGAAGACUGCUCUGUGCUUUGGGGAAAAACUUGACUUUCGAGCUUCCUUACAGCCUGCACCAUUAAAACUCUCUUGGUCACAAGCAAUGAACUGACGCAUCUCCAUUAUUCUUGCAAUAAGGGCCAAACCAAUUUUCAUUCUUUUUUGCCUCCCUCCAGCUUCUCUGAACCACCUCUCAAUAUGUUCCUGCUAUAUCACACUUAAUCUUUCAGAGAAUAUAUUCAAAGGGGCCUUUUACUGGUUUUAUAACAGGCAUAGAUUCGGGGGGGGGGGGAGAAACCUUUAUACAAAGUGACCAGGACUUGAAACAUUACUUAGCUAUUUUUACCAGAGAAAGAAAGCUACAAUUUGAUCUAACUGCAUCUUUCACAGCGGAAAAUGAGCUUCCAAUGGCCAUUGUGGGGCACACAGCAGAGUAAGUGAUUGGGCUGUUAAUAAGGCUUAGCCACCAUUCAGUCUGUGGUCCACAGUCCAUUUCUAUGUUUUGCUGCUGUUGAAUUGUCUGGAAGUUUAGACUGUAUCUGUUGAGGCUACAAUAUGAGUGUAGAAAUCUUAUUGUUUCUCUUUGGAGGAAAUGGUUCCAAAAGUUCACAUAGAAAGGAUUUCAACUCCUUCCCCCUGGAAAAAUAUCAGAACAUACGAAGGUGUAACAGCUCUAGAAGAGGGCAGGCGGACUUCGUUGUGCUCACCAACAAAGAGUUUAUGGUCAAGUUUUAAAUGGAUGCAGUGCAGCUGCACUUUCAAUAUAUUUUCUUUUUUGGAGCGAGGUGGCAGGGGAGGCUGAUUCUAAGGGUCACCAUACAGAGUGAAGGUGGCCAAUGAGGUGCCCUACAGCCUCAAAAUGGUCAACAGGAGUUGAAGUUUAGAAGGAUGGGCUGUCUGUAACUCAGUGGUAGAGUCAUCUGCUUUGCACACAGACAGUUUCAGGUUCAAUCCCCGGUAUUUCUAGACAAGGCUGGGUGAGACCCCUGGUUUCUCUGAAACCUUGGGCAGCUGAUGCCAGUCAAUGCAGACUGUACUGAGCUAGAUGGACCAAUGGUCUGACUCAGUAUAAGGCAACUUCUUAUGUUCUGAAGUUUGACAACCACUGGAGGGCUUGUCACACAAAUCGGUUUGCACCAUGUACUUUUGGUCAAAUAGGAAGUUAGCACACGAGAGUUGCAGCACAGAUGUUGAUUCGAGGGGCUCCCAGAGGAUUGGACACCGAGUACCCGAGAACAAUAUUCAAAUGCUUCCCCAUCACAUAAUCCCAAGUCUCUGGGGCUCAUAGGUGCUUUCUCACUAACUUUCUUCUCAAGCAUUCCAACCAGUUUGAAUGAAUAUGCUGGGUGAGGAUUGCAUCUAUCCCUGAUGGAUCCACAUUCAUUUCAAUGAACACACAUACAGUAUGUCAGGGCAUAACCUUCUGCAAUAAUAGCAUAUCCCCUACACAUUUAUUCUAUGGUUUAUAACUGAGACAGACAAUGUGGGGCACUCCAGAUUAUGCUGCACUGCAACUCCCAUUAUUGGUUGUGCUGGGAGGAGAUGUAGCUCAUUGAUUAGAGAAUGCAUCUUUCAUGCAGAGGGUUCCAAGUUCAACCUUGGCAUCUCCAAGGCAUCAGACUACCCUGUCUGAAACCCUAAAGAGCUGCUGUAGACAGUACGGACCUAGAUUGAUGAAAGGUCUGACUCUGUGUAAGGCAGCUUCCUAUGCACCUAUUUCCUAGGGCUGAUAGGAGGUGCCAUGUCAAGUAAGCCUGGUGUAGACCAUUCUCCAGAUGUUUUGAAUUGCAACUCCCAACAGGCCCAAGCCAGCAGGGCUAGCAUGAGUUGUAGUUCCAGCAACGUAUGGAGGGCACUCUAUUGGUUACAGCUGGCUUAGACAUCAGGGCCAAGAUGGCUCACAGCAGAAUAUGUAGACUGACAUCGCAUAAAAUAAUUGUGUUGUGGAGAGAUAUGAAAACCCUUUGUAUACAGAGCAAGUAUAGAACCAGCUGUUCCAAAAGGAAGGGAGAUGUGGAACAACCAAGCAGAGAUGCAGAAGAAGUUAAGGAAUGAAAGGGAGGCAUGCCAUUUAAAGUCCUUUAGCCCUCCUUGCCUGCAUCUUAUAUGCCAGCCAUUCCUCUACUGGAAGACCUUGCUAUGUGCUGCCACAUGGCAUUUGAGCUGGAUUAGAGGAUCCUUGCAGUGACUGUAUCAGAGCUCAAGGAAUAACAGCAGGAUGAAAUAAGACAAGCACAAAGCAACUGUUCAUUAAACGCAGUACCUGCUAUGGGCUGGGUUUCCAAAGCUCUUCUUUCAUUUACUCAGCAUGUUGAUCUGUUUCAGAAAUCUGGCUGCAGGAGAUAACUAUGGAAAUAGCCUUAAUUUUGGCGGCUCGUUGGAAACCAAGCUACUUUGCGAAUCUUUUGUCUGAUAUACAGCGGCAGAACAAAAUUUACAAUUAUAAAGCUAUGAGGGGGCUUCAAAGAUCAUCUGAGGCUGCAUUCCCAUGGCAGUUUCUUCCAUUUCCCCAAGGUUUCCUUAACUCUUAAUUACUGUGUUACAUCUGAGGUUUCACACGACGUAAAGGCCAGUUAUGGAAAACGAAUGGAAUGUAAGAGCUUAUUUAGCAAUUGUUUCCAUGUUAUUUCAUUCCAGGGAAAAAAUGGGUUUCAACCCCCUUAUCCUGGAAAAUCGCAGGAGUAAAGUGACGAAAUUUGGGGUAGUAUGCUGGCAUUUGGUUCUUUCAUGGGGGAAAGAAGCAUGCAUAUGAAGAAGGAUGGGGGAGUAGCAACAUUGUCCCUUGUUCCUUGAAGUGAACACUCAGUGUCUGCAUGGUUGGAAUGCAGGAUACUAUACAAAAGUAAGAGUCACAUUCAAUGCACUGCUCUCCUGUGCAUCUGUUCCUGCCUACCAGUGGCAUGUGGCCCCCAGAAGACAUAAGGAAAGUGGCCCUUGGUGUAGAAAGCUUCCGCAUCCUGGACAUAAACUUCAAUGUACAAAUGAUACAGUGUUAUUAUAAAAAAUGUUUAGGAGUGUUAUGGACAGUGAUAGUCAGAAGGAAAGUGUUAUAGUUAAGAAGGUUAUUCUUGGGAAUACCAAGCAAAGUGUAUAUUAUAAACCCAAAAAAAGCUGGUAGUUGGUAUUAUCAUUUUAAAAUAAUUUCACAGUUUAUGUCUGCGUCAUUUGUGCAGCAAACUUGGCAAACGUCAUCUUAUUCAACCCAACUGCACAAGGAUGUAACCCAACUUACCUCUCCUCUAGUAUUCUUUCUCGAACUCAAGCCUUCUGUGACACGUUUACUACUUGUAGAGAUCUGCCCUUACAAAUCCAACAUCAGGACCCUUCUGUUUAUUCUUAGCUUGACCACACACACCAUACAUUUAAAGCACAUUUAGAGCACAUGACUUCCCUCAAGAAUCUUGGGAACUGUAGUUUGCCCUCACAGAGCUACAUUUCCCAGUAACCUUAAUGAACUACAGUUCCCAGAUUAUUUAGGGGGAGUCAUGUGCUUUAAAUGUGUGUUGCUUACUGCUGGUGGGUAAGCUUCUUUUGUUUUUUAAGUAAUUUUUUUAAAAGAAAAAAACCCACCUAAAUUUUUCAUCUGAUUAUUUCCACCACCAAGAAACCAGUCCACAAAGAUGAGACCCUUGUAAUAUACUCUGCAGCUGUCAGUCAAAAGAGGGGAAAAUGCAGCAACAACAAGAGAAUAGUUAAAUCACUCACUGUGCUUGUUGGAGUUAUCUGCAUGGCAGAGAUGUCAGGGUAUUGUUUCCUGAGCCUGACUUCUACAUGCAAGGAGUAGCGAAGCAUGUCCUGGCCUCUUUUUAUCUUUCUCAGGAGAGCAGCCAAGUGGCAUAAUCAAUUCUUCCAGCCUUUUGUCUUUCACCUGAUGUUUAUUUUGCUCAGUGCUUAGGGCUCUGCUGUGCGUCUGCUACUUCAAAAUCUGUUGACUUUCCUGCAGCUAUUAAAAGGGAAGGAGAGGGAGGCAGAACACGUGAAAAUUGCAGACUGUGUUACAAUCUUCAGAGGGCUGUUCCCUGCCAUCCAUUACCAUAAUAGCAAAGAGGUGGCUUAAUUUUUCCCACAAAAGGCAGGAGUCCAGUCCAGUAAUAAGGAGACAUUUUAAAAGAACAAGGAAUAAGCUUCUCCAGGCCAGCUGCUCAGGGAAUUUUAGUCAUGCUCAGAGCGUACUUUAUUGGCCUCAGGUAUCUAUUACUGUGACUAACAGAGGUCAAAUGUGAGCAAAGAGGACUUUUCUUGUAGACUUUGGAAUUUAAAAGGGGGACCUGUCACUCACUCAGGUGCAAGUUCUACUUAAUUCUUAAAAUUAGAAGCUUCUGAGAUUUGGGUCUACUAUAGAAUAGGCUGUGCCAUUUCAGGUGAGGAAUACUAUUUUUGAAAGUUCUCUGUCAUGUUAAACACAUACACUCAAGCACCUGAGGGGAGGGAAGCAGAAGAUGGAAAUAUUUCAACCUAGCUGUUUGUGCUCCUUUUCUUUUUGUAGGGGUGUUUCCCCCCCCCCUGUGAAAUCAAAAACUUGUGUGGUCUGAAGAGGUACAGACCAUUCUACACCCCAUUCAGCUUCAUCUGUAAACCAAAUCAAUAUUAUGUAUAACAAGGUAGUGGAACUCUCUUAACUGUACCACUUAAGACUGUAGGGGGUAUUUUUAAAUGCUUUUUCACAUCAAAAGCUUCUUGCUUGUAGUAACUUAGUACAUCACUGAGAGGGCUACAUAAAAACUCUUGUUGCAUCCUGUUAACUGUGAGUUUGGUGUUGAAAAGUGAGAAUGUGGCUGGUAGUUUGAAUAUCUUUCUUAUGGAGGAAGGGCAGAUGUAGAACCACUGUCUCUUUUCUCUGGUGCUAGGAUACCAUACUGCUCAACCAUCCCGAUUUAAGCAGGACACCCAUCCCGGCUUCUGAUUGGAUCCUAGAAUGUCCCAGUUUUUGGUUCGGUGCUCUGGCAUAAGUCAGCUGGCCCCGCGAGAGCUCAGGACAUACAUACAUACAUACAUACAUACAUACAUGUGUCCCAAUUUGGAUCACCUGGAUGUUGGAGGAUAUGGGAUACUAUGUCAAAGUUGUUGCUGUUAUUAUUCUCCUGCGGGGAUGAUUGAAACAUAUUAAGGACAGAAGAAGAGUUUGCGGGAUCAGGCUAAUAGCCCAUUUGGUCCAGCAUACAAAUCCAUUUGGGGCAGUCUGUUCUGAGCAGACCCUCCCAUUCCAAUCUCUGAUGCAUUUGAUGGCUUGUUGUGCUUCCUUGCACGCGGGUGGCACUGUGGGUUAAACCACAGAGCCUAGGGUUUGCUGAUCAGAAGGUCGGCAAUUCGAUUCCCUGCAAUGGGGUUAGCUCCCAUUGCUUGGUCCCUGCUCCUGCCAACCUAGCAGUUCGAAAGCAUGUCAAAGUGCAAGUAGAUAAAUAGGUACCACUCCGGCGGGAAGGUAAAUGAUGUUUCCGUGCGCUGCUCUGAUUCACCAGAAGCGGCUUAGUCAUGCUGGCCACAUGACCCGGAAGCUGUACACCAGCUCCCUCGGCCAGUAAAGCGAGAUGAGUGCCGCAACCCCAGAGUCGGUCAUGACUGGACCUAAUGGUCAGGGGUCCCUUUACAUUUACCUUGUGCUUCCUUACUCUGCAUAUACUUGUUUAUUAUGCCUUCAAAUUUUCCUUAGCUGAACUAUUGUGUAAGGGACACGACCUAGGGCUAAACUGUUGCUCAGAUUAAGCCAGAGUUGGCCUUGCAUGUAUUAAAUAACCUGAAAUAAGUUCCUUUGAUUACCUCCUUCCCUGCAAACUGGCUUAUGAAAGUGCUCCAGGUUCACAGUAUGUUCUUUGUGGCUCAACCAUUUUUAUUUAUAGUUCUUUAAAGCAUUUUUAAUCCCUUCCUUAGCUAAAAAAAAAGCUUAUGAUAAUCGGUAGUAAGACAGUACCUGUUUUUGGAUUCAACAAACUAAAAGACAUGAUGCAAGGAAAUGAGAUGAGUUGGAGUGGACUGGAGGAGGGGAAGCACAGUUGUUUUUUAUCCCUCUAGUUCUCAUAGCAACUGGACUGGAAACCAUUCAAGUUUCCUUAUAGAAUGACUGCUGUUAGGUGUCACUUUAGUGAACACUCAGGAUGGGGUAGAAACGAGAUUCAGUUUUCAUUUGAAGGUGAACCUACUUAAUUUGCAGCAUCUGAAACAACAUGGGAACUAAAACACAGCCAUCCUUUGAAAAUCACAACUUUCCAUAUUUUGUGAUGCAGUUCUCCAACUAACUAUUGUGUACAAAAAUGUAUAUACUGGGGUAAGGUAGGAAAAUAGCAGAUAAAAAUGCUUUAUGAUACGGAAAAUUGCUUUGCAAAAAUGUGUAUAUCAGGGAAAGUUGCAUAUAAAAAUGUAUAUAGUAGGACAGAUUCAUUCAAAAAAUGCUGGUGGAUUCUCAUGAGGACUUUUUUAAAAAUUGCAAACUGAUAUGGAAAUUUGGAGAACCGAACCAAUUACUAGGAAGCAACCAAUACUGACAGAUUCACCCAUCCCUAGGAGGAUGAAGGCAGCUGGUGUCUCAGCAGAGGCAAUGGUCCUGCUGCUCUUAUUCCCCUCUGCUCUGCAUCCUGGUGGAAUGGCUGCCACAAACUGACAGCUGGAAUUCAGCUCAUAGGAAAGCCAGAAAGAUAGGCAACCAGUUUACUUCAAUGUAUGCCACUAAAACUAGUUCAGAUUGGAGUACUUUGGAUGGAUUGUGUAUGUGUUUACUAUAGUCUAGGAAUGGGCAAUUUUAUGGCCUUCCAGAUGGUGCUGGACCACAAAUCCUUUGCUAGUUGGGGCUAAUGGGAGUUAGAGUCCAACAACAUCUGGAGAGCCACAAGUUCACCAUCCCUGCUUUGUUGUUGUUGAUAAUAAUAAAAGAACUUAUAUACCACAUUGCAAUUAAUUAAUAUACCAUGUUUCAAGACUGCAGACAUAAGAUGCACAAAAGACUACCGUCUAGCUCAGAGUUAGGCAUGUUAACCACAUCUAACACUGUGUUGGUGUGUAGCCAUAGUCUAUAAGACAGGCAUGGGCAAACUCCGGCCCUCCAGAUGUUUGGGACUACAAUUCCCAUCAUCCCUGACCACUGGUCCUGUUAGCUAGGGAUGAUGGGAAUUGUAGUCCCAAACAUCUGGAGGGCCGGAGUUUGUCUAUGCCUGCUAUAAGACAUUCAAAUUUGGUCAUGCUGAUUAACACUGCCAUGUUAACAAUGGCGAACAUCAGUUAAGGUUUUUUAACCAGGCAAGAACAGUUCAUCUAAGAAAAGGAACACGGCAUGUUUUUUCAUAGAGUCAUGAGAGAAGGUCAUGUUUAAUGGGCAGCAGAAUAAAGACUUAACCCUGCAAGAUGUGUAGCUUUCCCCUCCAGUUGUUUUUGCUUAAUUGCAGUCUAGAGCAUGUAAAAUAGGAGAUAUUGACUUUUGUUAGCUUUAGUCAAUAUAUAGCUCUUGGGACAAUAAAUCUUGAUAUUCACUGAAACAUAAAGUCAAUGCACUGUAUGUACUGCUAGGUCUGUUCAUUUACAACCCAUUCAAAAGAGUGGCCUGACAUUCCUUUUGGCUGCAUCGUAUGGCGGCACAUUUUUGCAAAGUAGCUUUAACUUAGCAAGGUGGCAGCAGCUUCUAGGAAAAUGAAACAGCCCUCAGACGGUGGACCUUCUGAAGCUAUUUCACCGAGAGUAUUCUCAAUGCAAUACUGGCAGGUGUGAGUCAUGGGAUUGUCCUUCUUACCCAUGUCCACCUAUACUAUAUACAGAGGAAUAUUUGAACCAGGCUGUACUGUGUGUAUCUGCUCACCUCCCCUGCCUCCAGACGUUCUAUUCCUUCCCCUCUCAAUACAGAAGUGGAUCAAAAAGUUAACACCAGCAUCAAGGUCAUAUGGCUCAAUAUAUACAACACAUGUUGCAGGCACUGGUUGACAUGACACACCAAUUCCAUGCAAGCCUGACAAAUGUGAUGAAAGAAGCUGGACAACUUAUAUAUGAGUUGACCCUGUCUUUCCCUUGACAUAUAUGAAUACAGCCCUGAAGACCUUUGUAUGCACACUAGUAUGCAGUGGCAAUUCUGGAUUUUCCUCCAAGUGCACAGUCAACUGUAUCCAGCUUGAGUGUGAUUGUGUGCCUCCAGAUGAGCUUAUCUAGCUCUCUGAUUAGUAUUUUUUCUCUAACCUUAUUUAAAAAUUUUGCCCGAAGUCAUGUGGGGAGAAUCAAUGCCAUGAAUGCUAACCCUGACCCCAAUGUCUCUGUGCAUGCUGACUCCUAUUGUGACCUUCCCAUAUGGAGAGGGGAACUGUACUUGUAUUGGUAAAGCCUAUGCACACCGUUCAAGGCCAAUGUCUUCUUCCCUCCCACAAACAGCUAUGCUCGUCUAGUGAAAGGAGUCUUGCCCUAAAGGAUGAGCUCACAAAGCUUUGCAUUUUUACAUUUGCAGAAUGUGACAGAAAGCAGGAGGUCAAAGGCAGCAGAGCAGAACACAAUUAGCACACCUUUGAUUUUAUCACCCUAUUACAAAUUAGCGUUGAUAUAAGGUGGCUGUGCCUGCUUAGCUAUUAAAAGAGUUCCGGGAGGAUAUCAAAGAAAUCCCUGGCAUUACAAAAUGUCAGUUUCCCACAGACACAGUCCCAUAAAUCUUCACACAGCAGGACCAAAACCAGUAUUUUAAUCAACAUGAAAAAAAUAAUUACCUUACUUCUGUUGACAGUAAGGCUAAGAGUUAAAGAGCAUCUUUCUACCUCACUCUCACUAGAUGUUCCACAUGAGAAUGUUAUUAUCUUUAGAUACAUUUGAGAACCAGUGAGGUGUUAUGGGACAUUUAGACUGCAAUUCCAUUGCCAUGCUCCCAUCCCAAAACACAAUGACAGUGGCUCUUACCUGAGAGUAGGGAAGAGACCUUUAUUCAGGCUAAGCAGCAACCACAAGAUCCAGAAAACAUGAGUCCAAGGUACAUGAGCAGGGCAAGAGAUGCAGAACUGGAUGGAAGCAAUGAAGAUGUCCCAACAGUUGGCAUCCCCUCCUACCAAGCUCUUAAAGAUGAGGUGGGGCAAGAUCACUGAUGAGACUAUCUUGCCUUUUGAGACUGCCACGUGUGGAAACACAUGCUCAGUCAGGGCUAGUGUGUUUGAUCCUAUCAACGGAGGUGUAGGGUUGCCAUAUGUCCAGAAUACUAUAGUCAGCAGUAGCAUCCAGGCAGAAAUCAGUGAAAUGUUUGGGAAAAUCUGGACGUAUGGCAGCCCAUGUUGGCAGUGCUGUUUUUGCCAACUUCCCAUAAAAAUACCUCAACAAUAUAAUCUCCCCCCCUCAUUUUGUCCAAAAAGCUCGACAACUUUUCUGUCACUGUUUGAAAUAUGGCAAUCCUACUUAAUAUCAUGUAUGAAAAUGCCACCAGAAUCAGUGCUUAAUUUGUGCUAGAAUUCAGCAGGAUGCACUCUGGCACCUGUUUGUAGCUCAGUCCUAGAAAGGUGAAUUAAGUCCCUUCUAAAUUUAGUUAACUAUGCCAUUUAAGCAACCAGGCCAUGAGAUGUAAAAUAAUUAAACCAGCAUAACAAAAAAGACAUAGCAGCACCAGUAGAUCACUAGCAACCACAGCAACCACAGAGAGUAAAAAGUGUGGCUGAAUCAAGUCGUUUUCUAAAAUAUGAUUUGCAAAAGAAGUGAAGAAGGAACGCUGCAACUCACGCUAAGGGAGGUAUUCAACAAACUAGGUGCCACCACAGAAAGGACCCUGUUCUUUAUGCCUGCUCACUGUAGAAAAGACUCUGGAAUUGAUCUCAGGGUUCAGGCAAGUCCAUUUGAGAGCAAGUAGUUCUUAAGGUAUUCUGGUUGCAGACCAUUACGGAUUUUUUAAUGGUUAACAGUGCUAUAGUGAAUGGAGCCAGGAAAGUGGAGCCAGUAGUGGUAAUGUAAAAUCUGAGAAGAGGGAGUACUUGGGCACAUGCAGAUGGCUUGGCAAAGCUUUAUUUGAUGCUUUAAACAUGUACAGGGAAUCUAACAGGUGAAUUACAUAAAUUCUAGGGCCGUGCACAACCCUCACUUCUGAUUCCAUACCCAAUCCAGCCUUUUAGUGCAGCUCCAGUCUAACCCAGAAUCCAACCCAGGUUGGGGUUCCCAAACCAAUUCAGGGUCUUUCACAUGAUUUAAUUAGGGUUUUGAACUGUCUACGUGCCUCCCCUCCCCAUCUCCUUGUCUCCAAACAGCCCUACCUUUUGACAGAUCACUCCAGUUGAACAUGAACUGGGGCUGCCCCAACCCAUCCUGGUUAAAUCCCAGGUUAAUUAGGGCUGCCCAACAAUUUUGGUGAUUUCCUUUAAAGAAGCUCAACAACUUUCGGGGUGUCCUGGUUUUUUACUUUUUGAAAUAUGGCAACCCUACAGAGCUGCCACCUAGAUCUUGGCAACAACACUGUGUUCUGUCCCUCUGACUCCACUUCCACGUGCUCAGAUUCUCCCACUGGCUGGUCAAAGCCCUCCUCCCUCUCCAAUGAGGCACUGUCCACUUCAGGAGGGGAGAGCUGGUGGAUCAUCCUUCCCAUCUCCAACAUCUAGAGUCACAACAGGAGAACUUCCAUCCUCCAGUCCUGAGUACUAGAUUUCAUGUCUCCACCCUACUUCUUUCUCCACUUCCUAGAUGGCCCACUGGCUUGGUCUAGCACAGCAGUUCCCAACCUGUAGGUCCCCAGAUGUUGUUGGACUACAAAUCCCUUCAUCCCUGAGCUCUGGCCUUCCUAGGUAGGGGUGAUUGGAGUUGUAGUUCAACAACAUCUGGGGACCUACAGGUUGAGAAAGGCUGGUCUAGCAUGUUCUUAUACAAUUACUUAUGCAAAAAGCACUUUCUUCAAAGAGAAAUAAAUAACUACUGCAAGCAGAAUAAUAAUUUGGGUGCUGGCCAAAAUAUUUAAUUACAAUUCUUUUUUGGGGGGGAAUGGGAAAAUAUCAUUUGCCUUUUGGUGCAUCCUUUUGGCAAAUAAUUGCAAUGGCAUAUAAAUGAUAAUAAGUUACUUUAAAGUCUGCAAUUAAAAAAACUUAUCAGGAAGGGAACAGGGAUAUUAUACCACCUCAAAGAAAAAAGAGUGAAACAUAUAAUUUUCAGUUUGGAUGAUUCAUGUCACUUUGAGCUAAGAAACAAAAGGUUUAAUAGGACAAAAUUGGAAGACUGUGUGAGGGAGGUUGGCAGCAGUGAUUCACCAGGUAACAUGCUAUAUUUGAACCAAACUACAAAAUGGCAGCUUUGUUUGCAGCAGGAUAGGAUACAGUAUGACUGUUAAGAGCAUGAUAACCCCAAAUCCGAAGUAUUAGGCAACAGUCAUUUCAAAAGAAAAAAGAAGACUUGUCAUCAGAUCCAUUUGAUGCUCUGAGCUGCAGAGGUGUAAAAAUGAAAACAUAAUAUUAGAAGGCAAAUGGACAACUUUGUAACUUCCUGCAUUGAGAAGCUGCCUCAGUACCAUAGUGUGGGUCAGCGGUGCCGAAAAGGCGGAAGCUUUCAGUGACUGACAUGGCAUUUUAUUGGCAGAGGUAGUCAUUGCAUUGCAUGGGGUGGGGGAGAAGCCAUCACUGAGAGAUAAAACAUUUUAUCAACAGGACAGUAAUUGCAUUGCAUGAGAAAGAGCAGAGGAAUAAUGUGGAAGGUCUAGGUUUGCCAUACGUCUGGACAUAUCUGGAAUAUUGCAGUCGGCAGCAGUGUCUGGGCAGAAACUGGCAAAAUGUCUGGGAAAAGCAAGACAUAUGGCAGCACAUGUCAGCAAUGCUGGUUUGCUGAUAUUCCAUAAAAAAUAUCUCCAAAAUGGCAUUGUUUUGGCCAACAACUUAUCUGCUCAGAUUUUCACUGUUUGAAAUGGCAAACCUACAUGAGCACAAUGGAAGAUGGUGCAACUGCUCAUAGCCCUGGGCAGACCUGGUUCAAGGGAUUAUGCUGCCUGAGGCAGGUAGUAGUUUUGCCAUUGCCUCUCCAUCUCUUCUCUCCGCUGUUCUUUCCUCCUUUCCCCACUGCUGCCCCAUCUUUCUGCAAUAGUGGCAGCACUGCUGUCUUCCUGCUUCUGUCUCCAUUCCUUCCCCUCCCACCCUGCCCACUCUCAUAAUUAAAAUAACAUAAAUUGUCAGCACAUUAGUAAGUACUUAGAAGCAGCAGUGGUGAAAACUUCUCCCUCGCCUUGUUCCCACUGUUACGAUAUAGAAGCAAUGCGGCCGCGAGCUGGUAGCUUGAAAGCAAAACAUAAUGGGAAUGUUGGGACUAUUCCGUGGGAAACAGAGGGACAGUCAAUUCACAGUGCGAAGCACCGGAAUUAGCUCAGAGUGUAAUAUGAGCUGUACAGGAAGUACAGGAGGAGUUUGUCUCUCGACUGCAGGAGUUUGAAGAGAGCAGUCAUGAUUUUUGUAACACUGCAAAGACAGAAAUAAAGGAAUGUAAAUACGUUUCUGUCUAUCUCUCUCCCCUGCCCGGGGGAGCAGGAAAGAGGGGGUGUGUUCUUCUCACUCUGAGAAGGAUCGCCUAUCGCGACCUAGCCUGGAUCCUGCCGGGAAUGCAGACAGGGAGGUCAACAGGAGAUCAAGCCGGGUGCCUGGAGAGUGGCCAGUUUCUCCUGAUAAAGGCUUGAAUCCCAACACCCACAACCUCACCCUAUUCUGAGAAAGUGCCAAGGGGAUCCUUCUUCAGAGCCAGGCAUACUAGGCAAUGCUUGUAGAGCUUAAAAAUAAAUAAAUCCAUGAUUAAAACACCUUUCUAGUCAUUGCUGCAAACCAUGGUGACAGUGCAGGCAUUUUCAUGGCAACCUUACCACCCGAGAGAGAAAAUUCUGUUGUGCAUAUGGAAGUCUUUGCACAGGUGGGAUUACUUUGUUGGAUAUGACCAUUUGGCUAGACCUGAAGCUUUUCAAAAUGUUUUUAAGGGCCCUGGGGAAAGAAGAAUUGAGAGCAAGACAGCAGGGACUUAGGGACAUGAUCCGUUCAUGCCACUACUAUGAGCUGUGUAGUUUCACCUCUUUGUUUUUCACUGAACGUGUUCCUAGCACCAUGAAAAAGGUGACUGGAUAGGGGACUAAUAAUGAUGUCUCUCUUUUCUUCAGACUAGAAGGUUGGUUUAAAAUUGAUACUAAUAGUAGUUAACAUUUUUAGCUGCUACAGAAGCUUGUGAUUUUCAAUGGUGAGGGAUGAUGGGAUUUGUAGUCCAGUAACAUCUGGAGAGCCUCAGGUUGCCCACACCGGGUGUGCAGGAUUGCAUUCUUAAGCAAUCAUUUAAGGAGGCAAUACUUUCAAGACCUAUCAGAAGAUAUGUGUAAUAUGAAGUUCUGCUUGAAAUUGCCCUAUUAACCUGGAAAGAGUUUUCCUCACAACCUAAUAUUCUGCCUUCCUCUCUCUCUAUUUCUCCAGGGUAUUCAUCAUCAUGAAUACUGCAAACUGAAAGAAACACCAGUGUGUAGCCAUCAAUCCAUGGAAAGCACACACAUUUCCGCAAUGCACGAAGAAUCUCUGAAAUAUUUGUGGGAAUGCUGAAGAAUGUGAAUAUGAAAGUGAGGUGACAAGAACAAUUUUAAAAGUUAAAAUCAUUGCGCUUUGGGGACAGG